GCAAGUCGAGCGAGAAAGUCCUUCGGGAUGAGUAGAGCGGCGAACGGGUGAGUAACACGUAAAUAACCUGCCCUUAAGUUCGGGACAACCUUGCUAACGCGAGGCUAAUACCGGAUGUGGUUUGAUUUUCUCAUGAUUAUCAAAUUAAAACUACGGUGCUUAAGGAUGGAUUUGCGGACUAUUAGCUAGUUGGUAGGGUAAUGGCCUACCAAGGCGAUGAUAGAUAGCCGACCUGAGAGGGUGAUC
rnacentral:rRNA from 1 species